CCGGACCGGCGCACGGGUGAGUAACGCGUGUGCAACCUGCCCGGCACAGUGGAUUAAACCGGAAGAAAUUACCGACUAAUACAGCAUAACACUCCUGAGGGACAUCCUUCGGGAGUCAAAGGAGGCAACUCCGGUGACGGAUGGGCAUGCGGCGCAUUAGGUAGUUGGUAGGGUAACGGCCUACCAAGCCGACGAUGCGUAGGGGUUCUGAGAGGAAGGUCCCCCCACAUUGGAACUGAGACACGGUCCAAACUCCUACGGAAGGCAGCAG
rnacentral:rRNA from 1 species